rnacentral:rRNA from 1 species
CAGCCGCGGUAAUACGGAGGAUGCAAGCGUUAUCCGGAUUCAUUGGGUUUAAAGGGUGCGUAGGUGGAACGAUAAGUCAGUGGUGAAAUCCUGCAGCUCAACUGUAGAACUGCCAUUGAUACUGUCAUUCUUGAGUACAUUUGAAGUGGGCGGAAUGUGACAUGUAGCGGUGAAAUGCAUAGAUAUGUCACAGAACACCGAUAGCGAAGGCAGCUCACUAAACUGUAACUGACACUGAUGCACGAAAGCGUGGGUAGCGAACAGGAUUAGAUACCCUGGUAGUCCACGCUGUAAACGAUGAUCACUAGCUGUUGGCGAUACACUGUCAGCGGCCAAGCGAAAGUAUUUAGUGAUCCACCUGGGGAGUACGAUCGCAAGGUUGAAACUCAAAGGAAUUGACGGGGGCCCGCACAAGCGGUGGAGCAUGUGGUUUAAUUCGAUGAUACGCGAGGAACCUUACCAGGGCUUGAACGCAGAGUGACCGUUUCGGAAACGAGACUUUUCUUCGGAACAGUCUGCGAGGUGCUGCAUGGUUGUCGUCAGCUCGUGCCGUGAGGUGUCGGGUUAAGUCCCUUAACGAGCGCAACCCCCAUUCUUAGUUGCCAGCGGAUAAUGCCGGGGACUCUAAGAAAACUGCCAGCGUAAGCUGUGAGGAAGGUGGGGAUGACGUCAAAUCAUCACGGCCCUUACGUCCUGGGCCACACACGUGCUACAAUGGCCGGUACAAAGGGCAGCUACCUGGUGACAGGAUGCUAAUCUCUAAAACCGGUCUCAGUUCGGAUUGGAGUCUGCAACUCGACUCUAUGAAGCUGGAAUCGCUA